GUGGCUACCAUGCUGGUGGACCUGGAGAGGGAGCUAGAUGAAUCACAGCAUGAGGUGGUAGCUACACACAGGGGCAAGAAGUCCUCUCCAGAGGGACAGUGCCUCUGGGACAGCAGACAUCACUGAGGCUUCAGUCCCAGCCCAGAGGACCCCAGCCCACAUGGGAUGCUGCUCAGGAGGCCCAUCCCUGGAGAGACAGCCAUCUUUUCCUUUAUUCUGCCUUCCAAGCUGUAUCUAGAACCUACUGGGGACUCCUUUCUUCAGGACGCACAUCUGAGCAUGUCCUUGCUCCCAUCUGCCCAUUGCUCGCCGCCUC
rnacentral:lncRNA from 1 species